GACGAACGCUGGCGGCGUGCUUAACACAUGCAAGUCGAACGGAAAGGCCCUGCUUUUGUGGGGUGCUCGAGUGGCGAACGGGUGAGUAACACGUGAGUAACCUGCCCUUGACUUUGGGAUAACUUCAGGAAACUGGGGCUAAUACCGGAUAGGAGCUCCUGCUGCAUGGUGGGGGUUGGAAAGUUUCGGCGGUUGGGGAUGGACUCGCGGCUUAUCAGCUUGUUGGUGGGGUAGUGGCUUACCAAGGCUUUGACGGGUAGCCGGCCUGGGAGGGUGACCGGCCCCCUUGCGCCUGCGAGACGCACCAGAUUCCAAUGUGCCGCAGUAGUCGGGAAUAUGGCGCAAUGGGCGGAAGCCGGAGGCAGCAACGCCGCGUGUGUGAUGUCCGCCUGUUGGUUGUAAACCGCGUUCGGCUGGGACGAAGAUCUAGUGACGGUAAUGGGUAAAGAAGCACCGGCUAACUACGUG
rnacentral:rRNA from 1 species